GUUUCAAAACAAUUACUUCAUUGCAUACAUUUGCAGCAUAAUCAGCAAUAAUGGUGGGAAACGUCUCUAGAAUAUCACCAUCAGUGGCUUCAUGUUGAAAUUGGUGAGAUGUACGUAGGUACCAGCUAAUAAUAACCAACUCGCCAGCCACUGUGUAGCCUACAAUCUCCUACACCUGUAACAUUAUAGCUUAUUGAGCCCGAGCUCCCCACCUCAAGAAUUAUCAAGCCCAUAAGGAUGUUCUCGAUGACCUGAGUGACUCUGAACUGUUGGGCAUAUAUAGACUAGAUCUGCAGGAGUGUUAUUUGUGACAGAUUCAGUUGGAGAUGCCUUUGAGAACCCUACAGGAAGGAGUGAUGCACUAACGCUAGCAAUUAAAGUAAUGAUUAGUGUUAUUUAGCCAAUGGGAAAUGCAGCUCUCCAGCAAUGAUGAUCUUGAACUUUCAUGUGCCCUGUUGUUGGUGUGUCUCAUUUACCUUCUUAGUAAUUGAGGCUUGUGCAACUUUUUUGUGCCACUGAAUGAGUGAAGCCCUUUAGGCUACAUCUUUCCUCUUAAUACUGACUGGAUGAAAGUCUUGCGAUCAGUCCAGCUGGUUUUCCUCUGUUGGCCUUUUUGUCCUUAGGGGUCAUCCUCUCCUUUUAUACUAAAGAAAGAGGACAAGAAAGGAGGUGCUGCUGAGUAGGAGUGGGACUGGCUCAAGGACAUAAAUACUAAGACAAAAUACAUGUGCCUUGUGUGGGAUCUAAUUUACUUAUUAAAACCCACAAACUUAUGGGGUCAUAUCCUUACAAAAUCAAUGAUAAAUUAUCAUUUUUGUUAUUUAAUAAAAAAUAAAAAAAAUUGCACUAUUAAAUCAAAAUUAAGAAACAUAAGAUUUUAUUGCUUUGAUUUUUCACCAUUCCAUACAGGGACUAAAGAGUUGAUCUCAACACAACUUUAAACAUGCUUAGACAAGUUUAAGGCUGAGGUAAACUCUGAGAAUCUUUGUUAAUAUGGCCUCAGAGUCUGAGUUAAAGAUGUUGGCUGGUGGCUCUAGUGUGUUUGGGGAUGGAAUGGAGUUGAGCAGACUGGCUGAAGAGGUUGAUAAGGGUUUCAGGUUAUCCAAUAUCCAACUUAUUCAGAUUUGGUUUAUGGAGGUUUUACUGAUGUAUGAAUGAUCAAGCAUCAUAAAUGCUUUUUAAAUGUAGAGCAAACACCUUAAAACUAAAUGAUAGAAAAGAUUUACAGUUGAGAAAACAGAAUAGUGUAUGUGAAGCUAAAAGUGAAAAUCUAACACACUUUAUAUUUUGGUGUCCUGCAUAUAUCACAGAAAGACAAAAAAAUGGGAGAUUACAACAGGGAAGAGCAGAGGAUAUAACUAGACAAAAAAAUGGGAGAUUACAACAGAGAAGAGCAGAGGAUAUAACUGGUGAACUAUUAUUUAACAACGAUUCUGGGCUUGUUCCUCCCUCUCCUCUAUCCUAUGACUGCUUCAUGCUACCUAUUAAAAUUCUUUGCAAUGAUGUUUUCCAUGCCCUUGCUGGCCUAAACCCUCGGAAGGCUUAUGGACCUGAUGGGGUCCCUCCUAUUGUUCUCCGAAACUGUGCCUCCGUCCUUGCACCUUGCCUAGUCAAACUCUUUCAGCUCUGUCUGUCAACGUCUACCUUUCCUUCUUGCUGGUAGUUUGCCUACAUUCAACCUGUUCUUAAAAAGGGUGACCAUUCUAAUCCCUCAAAGUACCGUCCUAUUGCUUUAAUUUCCUGCCUAUCUAAAGUUUUUGAAUCUAUCCUCAACAGGAAAAUUCUUAAACAUUUAUCGAUCGCCAGUAUGGGUUCCGUCAAGGCCGCUCUACUGGUGAUCUUCUGGCUUUCCUUACUGAGUCUUGGUCAUCCUCUUUUAGAGAUUUUGAUGAAACUUUUGCUGUUGCCUUGGACAUAUCAAAAGCUUUUGAUAGAGUCUGGCACAAAGCUUUGAUUUCCAAAACUACCCUCCUACGGCUUCUAUCCUUCUCUCUGUAACUUCAUCUCAAGUUUCCUUUCUGACUGUUCUAUUGUUGCUGUGGUAGAUGGUCACUGUUCUUCUCCUAAAUCUAUUAACAGUGGUAUUCCUCAGGGUUCUGUCCUGCUACCCACUCUCUUCUUAUUAUUCAUUAAUGAUCUUCUUAACCAAACUUCUUGUCCUAUCCACUCCUACGCUGAUGAUACCACCCAGCACUUUUACAUGUCUUUUCAUAGACGUCCAACCCUUCAGGAGGUAAACAUUUCACGCAGGGAAGCCACAAAAUGCUUGACUUCUGAUCUUUCUAAAAUUUCUGAUUGGGGCAGAGCAAACUUGGUAUUGUUCAAUGCCUCAAAAACUCAAUUCCUCCAUCUAUCAACUCGACACAACCUUCCAGACAACCAUCCCCUCUUCUUCAAUGACACUCAACUGUCCCCCCCCUUCUACACUGAACAUCCUUGGUCUGUCCUUUACUUAUAAUCUGAACUGGAAACUUCACAUCUCAUCUUUAGCUAAAACAACUUCUAUGAAGUUAGGCGUUCUGAGACGUCUCCGCCAGUUUUUCUCACCACCCCAGCUGCUAACUCUGUACAAGGGCCUUAUCCGUCCAUGUAUGGAGUAUGGUUCACAUGUCUGGGGGGCUUCCACUCAUACUACUCUUCUAGACAGGGUGGAAUCAAAAGCUUUUCAUCUCAUCAACUCCUCUCCUCUAACUGACUGUCUUCAGCUUCUCUCUCACCGCUGCAAUGUUGCAUCUCUAGCUGUCUUCUACCACUAUUUUCAUGCUAUUUGCUCUUCUGAUCUUGCUAACUGCAUGCCUCCCCUCCUCCCGUGGCCUUGCUGCACAAGACUUUCUUCUUUCUCUCACCCCUAUUCUGUCCACCUCUCUAACGCAAGAGCUAACCAAUAUUCUCAAUCAUUCAUCCCUCUCUCUGGUAAACUCUGGAACUCCCUGCCUGCUUCUGCAUUUCCACCUAACUAUGACUUGAAUUCCUUCAAGAGGGAGGUUUCAAGACACUUAUUCAUCAAUUUUUGACUACUGCUUUGAUCCUUUUAUGGGACUGGCAUUUCAGUGGGCAUUUUUUUAUUGGAUUUUUGUUGCCCUUGGCCAGUGUCCUUCCUACAUAAAAAAAAAAAAGCAGUGAAUUGCAUUUUUAAUAAAAGUUACAUUCAUUUUUACUCAAAAAUCUUGCUCCACCUCCAUAUUAUUCUCCUAUUCAGAUUUCACAUGAGGGAUCAGACUAAAGAAAGAAUGUAGCAAUGUUCUUCUAUUGUAAUGUUAUUUGUAAUUUUAAUGGAAACAGGCUGAGAAGUGUAAGGAAUAGGUAGGGUAGUGAAGCAAAGGAGAGACAAGCAGAGAUGAAGAAAAAUUAUGGAAGGGGAGAGAGUAAAUACAACCAACACCAUGACAUGGCCACAAGAAGUAGAACAAAGAGAUCUGGGCAGUGAUACAGUAACAAGAAUAUACAUAGCAGUAGAAGCACCUGUUUUCACCACAGAGAACACAGGAUCUAUAACUUGCUUCUUCCCCUUAGCCAACAAAUAUAAGAUGUGGCAAGGGAGGAAAGAUUGAGAAGAAAGGAAAGGACGUGAGCCCAUGAGGACAACACAGUGGGAUGAGGUUGGCCCAGGUCAGCCCAGAGAUGCAAGAUGAUGCCACAAAAACAACAAAG